rnacentral:rRNA from 1 species
GAUGAACGCUGGCGGCGUGCCUAAUACAUGCAAGUCGAGCGAACGGACGAGAAGCUUGCUUCUCUGAUGUUAGCGGCGGACGGGUGAGUAACACGUGGAUAACCUACCUAUAAGACUGGGAUAACUUCGGGAAACCGUAGCUAAUACCGGAUAAUAUUUUGAACCGCAUGGUUCAAAAGUGAAAGACGGUCUUGCUGUCACUUAUAGAUGGAUCCGCGCUGCAUUAGCUAGUUGGUAAGUUAACGGCUUACCAAGGCAACGAUGCAUAGCCGACCUGAGAGGGUGAUCGGCCACACUGGAACGGAGACACGGUCCAGACUCCUACGGGAGGCAGCAGUAGGGAAUCUUCCGCAAUGGGCGAAAGCCUGACGGAGCAACGCCGCGUGAGUGAUGAAGGUCUUCGGAUCGUAAAACUCUGUUAUUAGGGAAGAACAUAUGUGUAAGUAACUGUGCACAUCUUGACGGUACCUAAUCAGAAAGCCACGGCUAACUACGUG